rnacentral:rRNA from 1 species
AUUGAACGCUGGCGGCAGGCCUAACACAUGCAAGUCGAGCGGAUGAAGGGAGCUUGCUCCUGGAUUCAGCGGCGGACGGGUGAGUAAUGCCUAGGAAUCUGCCUGGUAGUGGGGGAUAACGUCCGGAAACGGGCGCUAAUACCGCAUACGUCCUGAGGGAGAAAGUGGGGGAUCUUCGGACCUCACGCUAUCAGAUGAGCCUAGGUCGGAUUAGCUAGUUGGUGGGGUAAAGGCCUACCAAGGCGACGAUCCGUAACUGGUCUGAGAGGAUGAUCAGUCAAACUGGAACUGGGACACGGUCCAGACCCCUACGGGAGGCAGCAGUGGGGAAUUUGGGACAAUGGGCGAAAGCCUUAUCCAGCCAUGCCGGGGGGGGGAAGAAGGUCUUCGGAUUGUAAAGCCCUUUAAGUUGGGAGGAAGGGCAGUAAGUUAAUACCUUUCUGUUUUGACGUUACCAACAGAAUAAGCACCGGCUAACUUCGU